rnacentral:lncRNA from 1 species
GGAGUGAACUUUCUUAUAGGAUGAAAUUUGAGGAAAUCAAGGAACCACUUGAGUACCUAUAAAUAUAUAGGAGUUGGUGGCUUUUCAAGGUAGCCUUUGGAUUUUAUUGAACAACAACUAAUUCAACAACAACCACCUCAUGAGGAGCCACCCCAUGUAAGAAUUGAUAAUAUGGAAACCAUUGUUCAAGAUACACAUGAAAGUGGAAGUAAGGAUAUCUUCAAGAAUUAAAAGGUUAGCAGUUUGUAGUGAUUAUAUUAUACAUCUUCAAGAGUCUGAUUAUGAU